AGACUGGCCAAAAGAGCUCUACAAGACAGUAGACGAAUAUGAGUUGAAAGAGGCUGGCAGGGUGAGGGCUUCGACGGACUGGAUUAGGGAUCCGAUGGUGCACAUCCCAUCGGCGGAGUGGCUAAAUUAUAUCCGAGUCUGGAUCAACGCCCUGCCAACCAGAAUAAGGACAACACGAGGACCAAGAAGGUUACAGGAAGAUGUGGGAUGUCGCGGAGGAUGCGAUGUGCAGGAGACGGCGGCGCAUGUAAUCCAGCAGUGCUUCAGGACACAUUGCGGAAGGGUGCUGCGACACGAUGCAGUAGCAGCAACUUUGGCACAGGACCUCCAUGGGCGUGGAUUCGAGGUCAGACGUGAGCACGUAUUCAGAACGACUGCGGGCGCCAGAAAGCCGGACAUAGUGGCAUCGAAGGACGGGAGAGCCUGCGUAUUGGACGUUCAAAUCGUAUCUGGCGCGCGUCCAAAGCUUGGCUGAGACCCACGAAAGGAAGAAGGGGUACUAUGCUGGAAAUUGAGAGUUAUUGGGGUCUGUUGCAGAUAUGUUCCAGGUUCCACAGCAGCGGAUCAUGGUAUCCACGGCCACACUCACAUGGCGGGGCAUAUGGGACGCAACGUCCGCUGCGAACCUAUCAGGACUAGGUGUCUCGAGGACAGUCAUGAGAAGCAUAACAACGAGGGUCAUCUCCGGCUCCCAUAGAAACUUCACGAGGUUCAACCAGACGACAAUGACGGCAAGGAAACAUAGGUACGUCGGAUGUCUGAUUGGGGGCCGCCACGGUCAUGAACCCUUUCUUUCAGCUGUAUCCAUGCAGCGCAUUGUAAAUUACUACUAUAUAAAUACGAUCUUAUAUUAUAUUAUGUAAAACAUGGAAAAUAAAUUAGUUAAAUAGCCAAAUGCCUCGUCAUCUAAUUAGUGACGCGCAUGAAUGGAUUAACGAGAUUCCCACUGUCCCUAUCUACUAUCUAGAGAAACCACUGCCAAGGGAACGGGCUUGGAAAAAUUAGCGGGGAAAGAAGACCCUGUUGAACUUAACUCUAGUCUGGCACUGUAAGGAGACAUGAGAGGUGUAGCAUAAGUGGGAGAUGGCAACAUCGCCGGUGAAAUACCACUACUUUCAUCGUUUCCUUACUUACUCGGUUGGGCGGAGCGCGUGCCCCGAGGGCUUCGUGCCCCGGCGGUCACGGUGUUCCAGAGCCAAGUCGUGUCAGAGUGGCGUGAGGCCUCGGCCGAUCGCCGUUUGUACUCCUGCGUGAUCCGAUUCGAGGACACUGCCAAGCGGGGAGUUUGACUGGGGCGGUACAUCUGUCAAAGAAUAACGCAGGUGUCCUAAGGCCAGCUCAGCGAGGACAGAAACCUCGCGUAGAGCAAAAGGGCAAAAGCUCGCUUGAUCUCGAUGUUCAGUACGCAUAGAGACUGCGAAAACACGGCCUAUCCUUUUGGCUUGAAGAGUUUUCAGCAAAAGAUGUCAGAAUAGUUACCACAAGGAUGACUGGUUUGUGGCGGCCAAGCGUUCAUAGCGACGUCGUUUUUUGAUCCUUCGAUAUCGGCUCUUCCUAUCAUUGCGAAGCAGAAUUCGCCAAGCGUCGGAUUGUUCACCCGCCAACAGGGAACGUGAGCUGGGUUUAGACCGUCGUGAGACAGGUUAGUUUUACCCUACUGACUAGCCAUUGCGAUAGUAAUCCUGCUCAGUACGAGAGAAACCGCAGGAUUGGACAUUUGGUUCACGCACUCGGUCGAGCGGCCGGUGGUGCGAAGCUACCAUCUGUGGGAUUAUGCCUGAACGCCUCUAAGGCUGUAUCCCCUCUAGUCAAAGGUGGCAAUGAUAUCUCUAGGAGUUUUGU
rnacentral:rRNA from 1 species